AAAUAGCCACCAACAGUUCUUUUAAGGACAUCCCCGUGCCUCCUUAGGCGCUGCCGGUGCAUACAUCAAAAUCACGAGAAUGUACAAUUAAGGUGCUCCAUGAUCAUUCGUAGUUUGUAUGUUUUUUACCUUCAUUGAGUAUAUUGAAUUCUUUACUAAAAAAAUUAUAUAUCCUAAGAAUGAUGCAUAUGACCUUACCAUUCCAUUAUGCAUUGGCAUUCCAUUGAAAUAGACUUUCUCAUGAUCAGCAUUAAGCAAUCUAUUGGUUGCUCCUAAGUAGAGAGGAAGUAAACCCACUUCACCAACACAAGCUUUGUCAUCUGGCUGUCACAAAGAUGAAAGUAAAUGUAGUAAUAUACACAACAGAAAGAAAC
rnacentral:lncRNA from 1 species